rnacentral:rRNA from 1 species
UACGGGGGGAGCAAGCGUUGUUCGGAUUUACUGGGCGUAAAGGGCGCGUAGGCGGUCAGCACAAGUCAGUUGUGAAAUCUCCGGGCUUAACCCGGAGCGGCCAAGUGAUACUGUCGUGCUAGAGUGCGGAAGGGGCUACUGGAAUUCUCGGUGUAGCGGUGAAAUGCGUAGAUAUCGAGAGGAACACCUGCGGCGAAGGCGGGUAGCUGGGCCGACACUGACGCUGAAGCGCGAAAGCCAGGGGAGCGAACGGG